rnacentral:piRNA from 1 species
UGGAAAGUAACUGACUGUCUGUAGACCCA